rnacentral:rRNA from 1 species
CCGGUCCGCCUUCGGGAGUGCACUGACCGGGCCCGUCUUGUUGCCGGGGACGGGCUCCUGGGCUUCACUGUCCGGGACUCGGAGUCGGCGAGGUUACUUUGAGUAAAUUAGAGUGUUCAAAGCAGGCCUACGCUCUGAAUACAUUAGCAUGGAAUAACACGAUAGGACUCUGGCCUAUCUUGUUGGUCUGUGGGACCGGAGUAAUGAUUAAGAGGGACAGUCGGGGGCAUUCGUGUUUCAUUGUCAGAGGUGAAAUUCUUGGAUUUAUGAAAGACGAACUACUGCGAAAGCAUUUGCCAAGGAUGUUUUCAUUAAUCAAGAACGAAAGUUGGGGGCUCGAAGACGAUUAGAUACCGUCCUAGUCUCAACCAUAAACGGUGCCGACUAGGGAUUGGCGGGCGUUCUUUUGAUGACCCCGCCAGCACCUUAUGAGAAAUCAAAGUUUUUGGGUUCCGGGGGGAGUAUGGUCGCAAGGCUGAAACUAAGGAAUUGACGGAAGG